AGAGGUAGUUGGCUACAUUAGGACCUGAACAGGAUCGUGUUCUAAUAAACGGCUUAGUACACCUCUUGAGAAAUAAUGUAAAAGCCCUUUGACUUUGCAUGCACCCCUUCUCCCCAUUUCCAAGACACAUUUGUCUAAAAGAGGCAAGUGAUAACAUUUGUAACUAUCGGCCAAACUAUUCUUGGAGGUACUUCUAUGUCUUUUUUCCUUUCAAACAUCAACAGAACUGAGGAUCAGAAGAGGUGGGUGUAAAAAUAUCAAAUCUUGUCAUAUUUCUCCACUUCAGUAUCUUUUCCAUGAAUCUCUGCUGGCAGACCAGCUACUUUGAGAGCAGCAUUUUUUCUGUUUUCCAAGGACGGUUUUCUUCAGUAGUGUUAGGUCAGACUGGCCAUUUGGCUUCUGACAGCCCCUCUUUGAAGGGGCUGCUCCUGCUUCCUACACAACAGGAUGACAGUCUUUGCUUGGCACUUGACUGGUGUGCCAGCCUGCAUCCUUAUUCAUUCUCUGAACAGUGACAGGCCAGACUAAGCUAAUGGAUUUCGCUCAUUGAUCUGCAGUCAAUAACCACAAUAUGCCAAUAACCUGGCAAUGCCUGUUAGAGAGAAAAAAAUAAAUGCCAGUUUGCAAUGUGACCUGUAAUUGCCACAGCAGAACUAAGUUCUACAGUUAGUUUUGUCUGACCUGAAACCUUCUGAAAUUCUGCUAAGAGCCACUUAAGCAAUACUGGUAAGUUAUUAGAAGUGAAGUGCUAAAGGAACAAGGAACCUGAAUUUUGGACUCUCCUCUGUCACUGACUUGAAGUAGGACCUCCAGCAAGUCAUAUGGGACUUUUCCCCACUGUGACUUGGGAGAAUAACUUUUGUGAAAUAGACCAAGAUCUGCAAAUGAGGAUGUAGCAGUACCUCAAAUAGCAUUUAUUGCUGCAGUAGGACACCAUGACAAUGACACAGCAGCUAGAGUCAGCAGGAUUGGCCCUGCAGAGUGCCAUCUUGUUCCUGUCCAGGUUUCAUUUGUUCCU